rfam:Loxodonta africana cont3.4545, whole genome shotgun sequence.
GGAAAGGCGGCGUUAUUAUUUCCGAGGACAAUGUCUGGAGGAGUCACAUACCUUUAGGCAUUUUUCCUCUGAUGUCCAAUUGCCAUGACCAUCUGAGGAGGUAAAAAAUCUUUGAGGCAGUUACCAGGACUCUUUAUGGGUCUCUGUGAUAUCAUUUACUGAUACCAUAGGCUGGGUGACUUCUCCAGACAUCCUCACAUUCUUCCAAUUCUACUGGGUACACACUAGUUACUUAGGGAGAAUGUUAAGAGCUACAGAGAA